CUCGACGGUCGGUAUGGCAGUGAACAAGACAGGCCCCUCGACAGUCGAUACAGCAACAACGACAAAGGGUCAGACCAGGGUCACCGUUGGAAGCGGUAGCGCGUGGGCUAGGGCAGAGUCACCGUGGGUUUUCGUUGAAGCUCUCUUUCGACGACAACGGUGGGCAGCGAUUGGGUCACGAUAGGAUUUGCGACGAGCCUUCAACGGCGCGAGCCUUCAACGGCGCGAGCCUUCAACGGCGCGAGCAGAGUCGGUGGUUUCACCUCUGACUGCUUUGACUGGAAAUAGGAUUUCACACCAAGAUUAUGGUCCCAUAUACGGUGUUUUGGUAGGAUUUGAAAAAAGAGCUAAAAGUAGUUUUUUGUUUUUUUAAUCUUGGAGUAUUAUAAAACAAUAAUUUUCAUUAGCUCAACCAUAAAUCCUUAUCAAAUCUAUUGAGACUCCCCUCAAAUCUGAAAUAAACCAAAUGAAUGAAAGAAGCCUACUUUCGGAAGUUUAGUUAAUUGUCGCAAGUGACAUGUGAGUGAAUCACACCGACAUUAACAGCAGUUUGACUCUCAUCCUUUUUUAAAUAUUCUAUGUAAAUUUUCUUUGUAAUGUUAGAAUCUUUUUACCAGUAACCUAUGGAGAACUACAUCAGAGGAGAAGAGAGAACUGGAGCGCCUGCAGAAACCAAUAUAUAAUUCAGUUCUUCGAGCAACAAAAGUUCAUCGUCAGAGAAGGAAAGGAAGAUGGGAAGUGGAGGGAAAAAUUAAAGUGGGUCUGACCCUUAUUUUAAGUUCUCGAAGAAUUGUGGAAAACUUUUAGAGAAAAUUAGGUUCGCAAAUAUAUGAAAGGCAUUUUAAAGCCUGGAAUGUUAAUGACCGACAUAUGUGAAACAUUGGAGAACACUGUCCGUAAGCUAAU
rnacentral:sRNA from 1 species